GCAGUCGAACGGCUAGUAAGGUGCUUGCACCUUAUGAGAGUGGCGAACGGGUGAGUAACACGUGGAUGAUCUGCCCUUGAGUUGGGGAUAGCCCAUGUUAAACAUGGAGUAAUACCGAAUACGAUCCGGACCUUAUGGGGACCGGAGGAAAAGCGCUUCGGCGCUGCUCGAGGAUGAGUCCGCGGCUGAUUAGUUAGUUGGUGGGGUAAAGGCCUACCAAGGCAGCGAUCAGUAGCCGGCCUGAGAGGGUGAACGGCCACACUGGGACUGAGAUACGGCCCAGACUCCUACGGGAGGCAGCAGCUAAGAAUCUUCUGCAAUGGACGAAAGUCUGACAGAGCGACGCCGCGUGGGUGAAGAAGGCCGGAAGGUUGUAAAGCCCUUUUCUAUCUGAGGAAUAACCAUAGGAGGCAAUGCCUGUGGGAUGACGGUAGGGUAGGAAUAAGCCCCGGCCAAUUACGUGCCAGCAGCCGCGGUAACACGUAUGGGGCGAGCGUUGUUCGGAAUCAUUGGGCGUAAAGGGCGCGUAGGCGGUUAUACAAGCUUGGUGUGAAAUCCCGCAGCUCAACUGCGGAGACGCGCUGAGAACUGUAUGACUAGAGUUCAAGAGGGGAAGCUGGAAUUCCUGGUGUAGGGGUGAAAUCUGUAGAGAUCAGGAAGAACAUCAGUGGCGAAGGCGAGCUUCUGGCUAUGAACUGACGCUAAGGCGCGAAAGCGUGGGGAGCGAACAGGAUUAGAUACCCUGGUAGUCCACGCUGUAAACGAUGUGCACUAGGUGUUGGG
rnacentral:rRNA from 1 species